CAUAGCCGUCACGUGCGGUCCAAUGAAAGUGACGUAUACAUACAACCCAUAUAAAUACGACGUCGCUGACAUAUGACAUUCUUAGUGGAGACGAUUCCUUAGCGACCGCCUCCCCUUCUCGACAUGAGAGCUAAGUGGAGGAAGAAGCGCAUGCGCAGGCUGAAGCGUAAAAGGCGAAAGAUGAGGCAGAGGUCGAAGUAAACCGUCCUCUUCCGCCAUCAUUGCUGUGACAAGCACAUGUUCAUGUUUGCUGACCACAGCUGAAGACCCUGGACCCUCCCAGUGACCAGUCCUGUCAGUGGCGCCAGCAUCAACCAACCAAGAGGCAGCUGAAUGUGAUGCUGAAGAGCUGAUUCAAGAUCUGCUGGAUGACAGGCUUUUCCUCUGGGACAUUUCUGGACUCUUUGUUCUUAAUUCCUCAACUUUUGUUUAUACUGUGAUUAAAGGUUUUGGUUUCUAGUUAAUUUA